rnacentral:rRNA from 1 species
CUUACCCUGGCGGCAGCCUACCAUGCAAGUCGAGCGGAUGAAGGGAGCUUGCUCCUGGAUUCAGCGGCGGACGGGUGAGUAAUGCCUAGGAAUCUGCCUGGUAGUGGGGGAUAACGUCCGGAAACGGGCGCUAAUACCGCAUACGUCCUGAGGGAGAAAGUGGGGGAUCUUCGGACCUCACGCUAUCAGAUGAGCCUAGGUCGGAUUAGCUAGUUGGUGGGGUAAAGGCCUACCAAGGCGACGAUCCGUAACUGGUCUGAGAGGAUGAUCAGUCACACUGGAACUGAGACACGGUCCAGACUCCUACGGGAGGCAGCAGUGGGGAAUAUUGGACAAUGGGCGAAAGCCUGAUCCAGCCAUGCCGCGUGUGUGAAGAAGGUCUUCGGAUUGUAAAGCACUUUAAGUUGGGAGGAAGGGCAGUAAGUUAAUACCUUGCUGUUUUGACGUUACCAACAGAAUAAGCACCGGCUAACUUCGUGCCAGCAGCCGCGGUAAUACGAAGGGUGCAAGCGUUAAUCGGAAUUACUGGGCGUAAAGCGCGCGUAGGUGGUUCAGCAAGUUGGAUGUGAAAUCCCCGGGCUCAACCUGGGAACUGCAUCCAAAACUACUGAGCUAGAGUACGGUAGAGGGUGGUGGAAUUUCCUGUGUAGCGGUGAAAUGCGUAGAUAUAGGAAGGAACACCAGUGGCGAAGGCGACCACCUGGACUGAUACUGACACUGAGGUGCGAAAGCGUGGGGAGCAAACAGGAUUAGAUACCCUGGUAGUCCACGCCGUAAACGAUGUCGACUAGCCGUUGGGAUCCUUGAGAUCUUAGUGGCGCAGCUAACGCGAUAAGUCGACCGCCUGGGGAGUACGGCCGCAAGGUUAAAACUCAAAUGAAUUGACGGGGGCCCGCACAAGCGGUGGAGCAUGUGGUUUAAUUCGA